CCAGUUAAAUGGGGCGCAGCCUGAUGCAGCGACGCCGCGUGAGGGAUGACGGCCUUCGGGUUGUAAACCUCUUUCAGCAGGGAAGAAGCGCAAGUGACGGUACCUGCAGAAGAAGCGCCGGCUAACUACGUGCCAGCAGCCGCGGUAAUAUA
rnacentral:rRNA from 1 species